rnacentral:rRNA from 1 species
CCUACGGGAUGCUGCAGUGAGGAAUAUUGGUCAAUGGACGCAAGUCUGAACCAGCCAUGCCGCGUGCAGGAAGACGGCUCUAUGAGUUGUAAACUGCUUUUGUACGAGGGUAAACGCAGAUACGCGUAUCUGUCUGAAAGUAUCGUACGAAUAAGGAUCGGCUAACUCCGUGCCAGCAGCCGCGGUAAUACGGAGGAUUCAAGCGUUAUCCGGAUUUAUUGGGUUUAAAGGGUGCGUAGGCGGUAGGAUAAGUUAGAGGUGAAAUCCCGAGGCUCAACUUCGGAAUUGCCGCUGAGACUGGCCGGCUAGAGAGUAGUUGCGGUAGGCGGAAUGUAUGGUGUAGCGGUGAAAUGCUUAGAGAUCACACAGAACACCGAUUGCGAAGGCAGCUUACCAAGCUACUUCUGACGUUGAGGCACGAAAGCGUGGGGAGCAAACAGGAUUAGAUACCCCUGUAGUC